GAGGGGCGGGGGAGCCCGCGGCGCCAGCAGUCGGAGCGCGCGGCUGCAGCGGCGGAGCCGUAGCCCGGAGACAGAGCGGCGGCCGGAUCGCAGCCCGCGGGGCCCGCCGCAGCCAUGGGCAACCGCGGCAUGGAGGAUCUCAUCCCGCUGGUCAACCGGCUGCAAGACGCCUUCUCCGCCAUCGGCCAGAACGCUGACCUCGACCUGCCGCAGAUCGCUGUGGUGGGCGGCCAGAGCGCCGGCAAGAGCUCCGUGCUCGAGAAUUUCGUAGGCAGAGACUUCCUACCCCGAGGAUCUGGCAUCGUCACCCGUCGCCCCCUGGUCUUGCAGCUGGUCAAUGCUACCACAGAAUAUGCCGAGUUCCUGCACUGCAAGGGGAAGAAAUUCACCGAUUUUGAGGAGGUGCGCCUGGAGAUCGAGGCUGAGACCGACCGGGUGACCGGCACCAACAAGGGUAUCUCACCGGUGCCCAUCAACCUCCGCGUCUACUCGCCGCACGUGCUGAACCUGACCCUAGUGGACCUGCCCGGAAUGACCAAGGUCCCGGUGGGCGACCAACCUGCUGACAUCGAGUUCCAGAUCCGGGACAUGCUUAUGCAGUUCGUCACCAAGGAGAACUGCCUCAUCCUGGCCGUGUCCCCAGCCAACUCCGACCUGGCCAACUCUGAUGCUCUCAAGAUCGCCAAGGAGGUGGACCCCCAGGGUCAGCGCACCAUCGGGGUCAUUACCAAGCUGGACCUGAUGGACGAGGGCACAGAUGCCCGUGACGUGCUGGAGAACAAGCUGCUCCCCCUGCGCAGAGGCUACAUUGGGGUGGUGAACCGGAGCCAGAAGGACAUCGACGGCAAGAAGGAUAUCACGGCUGCCUUGGCCGCCGAGCGCAAGUUCUUCCUUUCCCACCCAUCCUACCGCCACCUGGCUGACCGCAUGGGCACCCCCUACCUGCAGAAGGUCCUCAACCAGCAACUGACGAACCACAUCCGGGACACACUGCCAGGGCUGCGGAACAAGCUGCAGAGCCAGCUGCUGUCCAUCGAGAAGGAGGUGGAAGAGUACAAGAACUUCCGUCCCGAUGACCCUGCACGCAAGACCAAGGCCCUGCUGCAGAUGGUCCAGCAGUUUGCCGUGGACUUUGAGAAGCGCAUUGAGGGAUCAGGGGACCAGAUUGACACCUAUGAGCUGUCGGGGGGAGCCCGUAUCAACCGGAUCUUCCAUGAGCGCUUCCCCUUUGAGCUGGUCAAGAUGGAGUUUGACGAGAAGGAACUCCGAAGGGAGAUCAGCUAUGCCAUCAAGAAUAUCCAUGGCAUUAGAACGGGGCUCUUUACCCCAGACAUGGCCUUUGAGACCAUUGUGAAAAAGCAGGUGAAGAAGAUCCGAGAACCGUGUCUCAAGUGUGUGGACAUGGUUAUCUCGGAGCUAAUCAGCACCGUUAGACAGUGCACCAAGAAGCUCCAGCAGUACCCGCGGCUGCGGGAGGAGAUGGAGCGCAUCGUGACCACCCACAUCCGGGAGCGCGAGGGUCGCACCAAGGAGCAGGUCAUGCUCCUCAUCGAUAUUGAGCUGGCUUACAUGAACACCAACCAUGAGGACUUCAUAGGCUUUGCCAAUGCUCAGCAGAGGAGCAACCAGAUGAACAAGAAGAAGGCUUCAGGGAAUCAGGAUGAGAUUCUGGUCAUCCGGAAGGGCUGGCUGACCAUCAACAACAUUGGCAUCAUGAAGGGGGGCUCCAAGGAGUAUUGGUUUGUGCUGACUGCUGAGAAUCUGUCCUGGUACAAGGACGAUGAGGAGAAAGAGAAGAAAUACAUGCUGUCCGUGGACAACCUGAAGCUGCGGGACGUGGAGAAGGGCUUCAUGUCCAGCAAGCAUAUCUUUGCUCUCUUCAACACAGAGCAGAGGAAUGUCUACAAGGAUUAUAGGCAGCUGGAACUGGCCUGUGAGACACAGGAGGAGGUGGAUAGCUGGAAGGCCUCCUUCCUGAGAGCUGGAGUGUACCCUGAGCGUGUUGGGGACAAGGAGAAAGCCAGUGAGACCGAGGAGAAUGGCUCAGACAACUUCAUGCACUCCAUGGACCCACAGCUGGAGCGGCAGGUGGAGACCAUCCGGAACCUGGUGGACUCAUACAUGGCCAUUGUCAACAAGACUGUGCGGGACCUCAUGCCUAAGACCAUCAUGCACCUCAUGAUUAACAAUACCAAGGAAUUCAUCUUCUCGGAGCUGCUGGCCAACCUGUACUCGUGCGGGGACCAAAACACACUGAUGGAGGAGUCAGCCGAGCAGGCUCAGAGGCGCGACGAGAUGCUGCGCAUGUACCACGCACUGAAGGAGGCCCUCAGCAUCAUCGGCGACAUCAACACGACCACUGUCAGCACGCCCAUGCCCCCGCCCGUGGACGACUCCUGGCUGCAGGUCACCCACGUCCAGCCCCACGCCGCAGCGCCGAGCCCCCGCCGUACCCCCAGCCCGGCCCGGGUCGCGGGGCCCUGCUCCUGGGCCUCCGCCUGCUGGAUCCGCCCUGGGGGGGGCGCCCCCCGUGCCCUCCAGGCCGGGGGCUUCCCCUGAUCCGUUCGGCCCUCCCCCCCAGGUGCCCUCGCGCCCCAACCGCGCCCCUCCUGGGGUCCCCAGAAUCACUAUCAGUGACCCCUGAGGAGCGUCAGCCAUGUUCCAGACUUACUCUCUCCCCCUUCUGACCUUGUGCCAGCUGCCUCUCUCACCUCCCUUCUCAGCCAGCCUCAGGACUCAGUGCCACCACUCAAGACCUCAUGGCUGAGCCUAGCCUGGAGAGCUCUUGGGACAGGCUCCGCGCCCAAGCUGGCAGACCUGGGUGUGCCCUGGAGCCAUCAGAGAGGGCAGAGAGCUCAUGGUUUCUGGGGUAGGGCAGGGAGUGUGGAGGGGGUUGUGCAGGGGGGCUGGGCCCUGGCAGCCACAGCCCUUGGAACUGCAGCCUGGGGGGUGCCACAUUGUUCCCCGAUCUGAGCCAUGCCGCUGCAGCAGAGCAGCCGCCUCCCAGCCUGGGAACUUUGGGAACCAAAUCCGGCCUAGGGCAGAGGAGGUCAGCAUCCCCCCUCCUCUCUUGCCAGCAGUUGAGCAGUGAUCAGGGGCAAAGGCUCUGGUUUGAUGAAUUCUGAAAGCCUGAAACGGAUCCUGUCCACCCCAGCAGCCCGGAGCCCGCCUCACGGGAGCAGCAGGGUCCCACAGCCCCUCCCACUGCCUCCUUAGUACUGUCAAACUUGCUAGUGCACGACUGAAGGUGGCAGCCUUGGCCCUGGGGGAAGCUCCCUAGCCAGCCCACGGGCUCAUGGGCCUGGGCCUGUUGUCCCUAGGGCUGACCUACACUUUUCAGCCAAGGGGACAGCUGUGUCUGCUGACCUGGGCAAGUCAGCUCUGAGAUCCCCCGGCUGGGCCGCAAAACUCACCCGUGAAUCCGCCUGCCCCUCUGCCCCUGCCUGACUCUUGCUCUUCUGCUUUUCCCCAGCAGGAAGGGCCCAGCCUCACCUACGCGACCUGUGGUCCCUCGGCCAGCCGAGGCCCCCCUCUUAGACUUAUAAGCCUGUGGCCUCUGGCGUCCAGCUACUUGCCCUCCUUGCCUCCCCAGGGUCCCUCCAGGACUCUGGGCUUGCUGCCCACCCAGAGGGGCCUGCAGUGCUCCCUCCAGCCAUCCUGUUAGCUUUGCCCUCCUGGCUCAGUGUUCUUCCACCUGUUUUUCUCCAUCAGGCCUGGUGGCUAUUGUACAGGGCUCAUGGCUCCCUUUUCCCUAAGGCUAGGGGUGGCCCUGGGCCAGUGGGUUGAAAGACAGUGGGGCCAGAGAAGAGGGUAGGCAGAGGGGGCCGUGAGCGUGUCUGGAGCCGUGGGUGCCCUGCCUGGUGGUGUGUGUGAGACCAGAGUGUGUGGCAGGGGGAGGGCCACCCUCCUCCACCUCAGACCCCGGGGAGGCUAUGGUCCCACAUCUCCAGCUCCUCCCUUCCACCUUCCCUCUCUCCUCUCCUCCAUUCCAGAGCCCUUGCCACACCCUCCGCUGCAUCUGCCCCCACUGCCCUCCCCUCCUACCCUGGCAGCUUGGCUGCCCUCGCCUUACCAGCUCUCUCCCUCCUUCUCUCUCCCAUUCUCUCUGCUUUCUCUCCAACUGCCAGCCGAUCGGGUCAGGCAAGUCCGUCCCGUCCUGAGAGCCCCAGGCCCCCCUUCGACCUCUAACCAGAUCCCUCCUAUUCCUCGGAGACCUCCCUUUCCAAGCCUGCCUGGAUGGCUGUUCUGUGACUUGACAGUGGCUCCCCAGCCCCAAAACUUCCCCUCAUCUGUGACUUAGUCCGCUGUAGUGGUGAGCUGACAUAUCCAGGCGUGACGCUGGUGAAAACUUGUGCCCUCUCUGGUAUUGCUCCUGCCUUGUCCUAUAAAUAUCUAUAAAUACUCAAAUAUAUACGUACACACAUACGUCCCCACAGCCUCACCUCUAGUGGUGGGAAUCCAUCACCACGCUGUCCCUGAGUCUUGUGGCCCAGCGACAAGGGAACAUUGUCACCCUGACAUCCCCCUUCAGUGUGCCACCUCCAGUGAGCCUCUAUCAUGCCAGCCUGUGGACAGCCAGCCCCCUCUGCCACCUUCCCAUCUCUCCCCCUUUGAGCGCAGGGGUGCUGUGCUGGCAGCUGUGUGGUUCUCUGACCACUACCAAUCUUGCUGUCUCUUGGCUGAGAAUAAAACCCAUUUCUGGACAAUGGGGAACAGCG